rnacentral:rRNA from 1 species
AACGAACGCUGGCGGCAGGCCUAACACAUGCAAGUCGAACGGACCCUUCGGGGUUAGUGGCGCACGGGUGAGUAACACGUGGGAAUAUGCCCUUAGGUACGGGACAACAGCUGGAAACGGCUGCUAAUACCGUAUGAUAUCGAGAGAUCAAAGAUUUAUCGCCUAAGGAUUAGCACGCGUUAGAUUAGGUAGUUGGUGGGGUAAGAGCCUACCAAGCCUACGAUCUAUAGCUGGUCUCGGAGGAUGAUACGCCACACUGGAACUGAGACACGGUCCAGACUCCUACGGGAGGCAGCAGUGAGGAAUAUUGGACAAUGGGCGAAAGCCUGAUCCAGCCGUGCCGCGUGAGUGAUGAAGGCCUUCGGGUUGUAAAGCUCUUUCGCACACGACGAUGAUGACGGUAGUGUGAGAAGAAGCCCCGGCUAACUUCGUGCCAGCAGCCGCCGUAAUAC